rnacentral:lncRNA from 1 species
UUAUCAAAAUUUUAUAUAUAUUUUAUUACAUGUGAGUGUAUAUAUAAGAAGAUAAUUGAGUGAGGCUAACUCACAGUAGCACAGUUUGAAAAGAUAACAGUUAACAAUAGAAGAAUGAUGAAGGUUCAAAUCCAAUCCCUUGGUGUUCUAAUGGUUGUUUUGUUGGCAUCUACAGCAACAGCGAAUAUAAUUUUGCCAAGCGUUUUCUUACCUAUCAAAGACGUGAACAACCCAAAAUUGGCCGAUUUGGGAAAUUUCGCCGUUGUCGAGCAUGUAAAGCAAACUGGUAAGGAUCAGUUGAAGUUCGAGAAAAUCCUCAAAGCUGAAUAUUAUUUUCCAGAUGACGUCCACCAAUUCUACCUCAUCUUUUCUGCCACCAACGCUUCCGGAAUUUCAAACCAAUAUGAUGCACUCGUAAAUGAGAAUGAAUCAAAUCACUCCAUUAAGCUUGUUGCCUUUGAAACUUAUGUUCAUUAAAUAAUUCAAUAAUCUUCUAUGGCUUCUAAUUAUACCAAUAAAUGUUUGUGUUUAAUAUACAAAUUGGAUCUCAAUUUGGUAUUCAUGAAUAAAAUAAAUGUUUAGUCAUUCAUUGAGUAAAUUGAUUACUUUAUCCUAUAAAUGAAUCCCUAUAUCAAAAUUUUGUUUUUAGGAUGUAAAUUAAGUAUAUGCCGAAUCACCAAAUCAAACAACAUCACGAUCACAAUAAUAAUUGCAUACACACAAAAGAAUAGUAAAUUCUAUCAUAAUUAACUCAUAUAAUAGUGAGGUGAUAGAGUUGAAUUCGGAACAAGACGUCCAACUUAAUAAUAUUGACAUUUGUCAAUUAAGUUAGUACUUAUGAAUAAUUGCAAAGACUAAUAUUGACAAAGCGACAUCUUUUACGAAUAAAUAUUUUUCAUUUUUAUGAAAAUUGAGAUUGAGAUUAAAGUGUUUCAAUUUAAACUCCAAGUAUUUUGUUUAUAGAUGUGAAAAAUAUAAGUUUUCGAUUCACAUUAUAUUGGUAUGAGUUUUGCUAGUGUCUUUGAAACGAGAUAAAAUAAUAUCCAAUAGUAGCCAAAUACGUUCGUUUCGUCAUUUCUUUGUUCGCUAGCGUGUAGUUAACUAAAAUUCAGUUUUUGGCGAGUUCACACUGUCGCAGUCUAAUAAUUCGAGUGUUUCUCGAAUUCAAUGGAGUCGCCACCUAAAUUUAUUUUAAAAUAGGGAAAAUAUUGAGGGAAAAUAUUGGGAAACCCUUAAAAAUAGAAAAGAAUGAUAUUUGAAACCAAAAUUUGAAUACGAGAGUCGAUUAUGCUUAAGGAAAGUAUUAGCACCCUACGACAUCCGUUAAAACAACGGUUACCUACGAUUAAUUGUGCAAGAUUAAUAUUAACUUAAAUAUAUUUAUUUCUCCUUAUUAUUAAAUAUGAAUAACAAUUAGUAUUAUUUUUUUAAAUAUCAUUUUGGAAUAAAUGUGUGCUUAACAAAUAAAGGACAAAAAAAAAAAAAAAAUUUAUUAAUGUGCUUGACAAGAAUGUGAUCUUGCUUCUACAUAUCUUCCGGUGCGUUGGAAAAAUCAAAGCUACUUAGUUCUUGGAUAGAAAAUGCCGAUAUGUUGAUUCAUUUUUUAUAAAGAAAAUUGGUUUUGUUAUAUUUUUUAAAAAAUUGACGAGAAAAGAAAAUGAACUAAAAUUAUUUUUUUUAUGCGAGUUUUAGGACUAUCAAGCUGUACAACUCGUGUAUCAAAAACAUAUAAUAAAAAAAAUCUCAUCUAGUUAAUACAUUUAAGAAUGUUUUAUAUUAUUUUUUAUUUUAAAAUUGAGUUUUAAAACCACCAAUUAGUACAACUUAUGUGUCAACAACUCAAAGAUUAAAAAAACAUCACAUGUAAUUAAUCAAAUUUAAAAAUUUGAUUUUAUAUUUACUUAUUUAUAAAAAUAAGUUUUAGAAUUAUAAAUUAUAUUAUGCUACUCAUGGUUUAAAACAAAAUAUCAUUUUUAGUUAACUUUUAAUAAUAAUUUUAAUUUAUUAAUUUGUUUAUGAGUUUUAAUUUAUUAAUUUAUAUAUGCAUAUGAGAUUUAGAACCGCCAAGUUGUCGCAACUUGUGUCAUAAUAACUCAAAGAUAAAAGAAAUAAUAAUAACACAUCUAAUUAAAUAUAUUUAUAAGUCUUUUUUAUACUAAUUUAUUUAAAAAAGUAAUAAGUAAAUAAAAUAAAAUAAAAAAAAGAGUAUUAAAACUAUCAAGUUGUACCACUUGUGUCAUAACAAAUCAAAGAUUAAAAAGAUGUCGCAUCUAAUUAAUCUUUAAAUAAAUAUUUAUUUGUGUUUUUUUUUUUUGUAUGAUAUUGAUAUUUAGUUAUGAAGUAAUGUUUUUUAAAACUAACUCUAAAUGAGCUGAAUUUGCAUAAACAUAUUUACCUUACUUUUUGUUAAAGCCCAAACAAUUCUAAAGUAACAAACAAUUCUGAUUAGAACACGUUGUUGAUGUACACGACAAAUAAAAUGGAAGCAUUUAAAUUAGAAUUAAAUAUAUUUUUAGUCGAUAUAAAAUUAUGACCUUUUUUAAAUUUAUUCUCUAUAAAAAUAGAAUUCUUUUUUUUUUUUUUUUUUCCUGUUUUAGUAUUUUUCUUAUUUGUUUAGUUGUUUUCUUUGUCUGUGCCCCUGUUUGAGCUUUUCAGAUACUUGUUUGAUGCUUUUUUUCUUUUGCUCAUCAUCUGAGUUUUUUCUACACAUUUGAUGCCUUCAUGGUUUUAACUUAUGUUUGUUUUUAUCUGUUCAUUUGCUGAGCUUUUUAUUUGCAGCUUUAAUUUCUGUUUUAGUUUAUUUUUUAAAACUCAAAAGUUUGUCUCUUUGCUAUGUAUAAUGUGUACAAUGACUGACUUAUAAAAAUUAUAUUUUUAUUUCUCUAAUUAGUUACAACAGGUAUAAAUGUAUCAGUGAGCAAGACUUGUGAAUCAAUAACAGUCAUCAUCAACAGAACAAGGCUUGACAGUGAGCAAUAGCAAGCAACAGUAGAGAACAAAACACAGACCAAACAGGCUGGAGCAGCUGGCUUAGUUUGAUUUGGUUUGGCUUAAUUUUUAUUGUAAUUUGAUUUGGCUUAAUUUUUAAAUUUGUAAUUGAUUUGGUUUUUAAACUGUUCUUUGAUUUGACAUUGUAAAUUGAUGAGACAUAAUGAGCCUAUUUAUGGUAAUUAUUUUUAUUUCCAUAUAUAUAUAUAUAUAUAUAUAUAUAUAUAUAUAUAUUCCUUUCUUGUANNNNNNNNNNNNNNNNNNNNNNNNNNNNNNNNNNNNNNNNNNNNNNNNNNNNNNNNNNNNNNNNNNNNNNNNNNNNNNNNNNNNNNNNNNNNNNNNNNNNNNNNNNNNNNNNNNNNNNNNNNNNNNNNNNNNNNNNNNNNNNNNNNNNNNNNNNNNNNNNNNNNNNNNNNNNNNNNNNNNNNNNNNNNNNNNNNNNNNNNNNNNNNNNNNNNNNNNNNNNNNNNNNNNNNNNNNNNNNNNNNNNNNNNNNNNNNNNNNNNNNNNNNNNNNNNNNNNNNNNNNNNNNNNNNNNNNNNNNNNNNNNNNNNNNNNNNNNNNNNNNNNNNNNNNNNNNNNNNNNNNNNNNNNNNNNNNNNNNNNNNNNNNNNNNNNNNNNNNNNNNNNNNNNNNNNNNNNNNNNNNNNNNNNNNNNNNNNNNNNNNNNNNNNNNNNNNNNNNNNNNNNNNNNNNNNNNNNNNNNNNNNNNNNNNNNNNNNNNNNNNNNNNNNNNNNNNNNNNNNNNNNNNNNNNNNNNNNNNNNNNNNNNNNNNNNNNNNNNNNNNNNNNNNNNNNNNNNNNNNNNNNNNNNNNNNNNNNNNNNNNNNNNNNNNNNNNNNNNNNNNNNNNNNNNNNNNNNNNNNNNNNNNNNNNNNNNNGUUAAUUAUUUUUAUUUAUAUAUAUAUAUAUAUAUAUAUAUAUAUAUAUAUAUAUAUAUUCCUUUUUUGUAUUAAUGAUUAUGAAGACAAAAAUCAAAAAAUUUGAUAUAUAUAAUAAAAUUGAUAUUAUUACUUUUUGAAUUAUUUCUAAUAAAUUGGAAAAAAUUGGAGUACUACAGCUGCCCCUAUUUAAUUAUAUUUUACUUGAAAAAUAUGAAUAAUAAUGGUUUUCAUUUUAAUGUUAUCAGGUAAAAGUAAAAGAUAAGUAAAUAUAAAGACCUAAAUUUUCUCCAAUAACAAAUGCAUGUAUUAAAGUGCCAUUGAAAUGUUAAAGUGAGAAUGAUGCAAUUUUUUUUAAAUGUGGAAAAAGAUUGUCUUCAGAUUGAUUAUUGAUCCGUAGAUCGACAUGAGUAAAAAUAAUCGUCUUCGAAUUGUUUACCGAUAUAUAGAUCCAUAAAAGUAAAAAAUGAUCGUCUUCGGAUUGGUUAUCGAUACGUAGAUCGACAUAAAUGAAAGUUAUCGUCGUUAGAUGGUUUAUCGAUGCGUAGAUCCAUAGAAGUAAAAAAAUGAUUGCUUCGGAUUGGUUACCGAUGUGUAGAUCGACAUAAAUGAAAGUUAUCGUCUUCGGAUGGUUUAUCGAUGCGUAGAUCCGUAGAAGUAAAAAAAUGACCAUCUUCGGAUUGGUUACCGAUAUGUAGAUCGACAUAAAUGAAAGUGAUCGUCUUUGGAUUGUUUACCGAUGCGUAGAUCCAUAAAAAAUAAUCGUCUUCGGAUUGGUUACCGAUGUGUAGAUCGACAUAAAUGAAAGUGAUCGUCUUCAUAUUGUUUACUGGGGAGUAGAUCUAUAAAAAUAAAAAAUGAUCGUCUUCAGGUUGGUUACCGAUGCGUAGAUCGACAAAAAUGAACAAAGGUAGUUGGUCCAAUCUUGAAGGUAGAUAAAGAGGGAGAAUAUUUAUAUGAUAUUUGCAAUGCGAAUGUUAAUGGUUGUCAAGUAUAUAUAAAGUAUAAAUAUAAGGUAUGAAUGAUUCAUGUGUGUGUUAUGCAUUAUGCAAGGUUGUCGAGUAUAGGUAAAGUGUGAAUGAAGAUGCAUGAAUCAUGUGAGUAUGAGUAAAUUAUGCUUGAUUUAUGUGUGUCAUGAAUUAAUGAUCAAUUCUUGUUCAUUUCUUUGAUUCCCCGAUCCUUAUUAUCUUCUAUGCCCACAAGAUUCAAUGGAUGAAUGAAGAUAACAACCAUUUUUUGCAUGACGACUCUAGUAUGUCUCGUGGGGCCCCCCCCCCCCCCCCCCCUCCCCACCCCCCCCCCUUUUUUCAAGGUAAAACAAAGUCCAUUGUUUAAAAUGAUUAUUCUUCAUUUUUCUUAUAUGCACCCAUACAUGUUGGGAAUCUAUCGAGUUCCCGUGUAUUUGUUUUCCAAAUGUCAAAAUAUUUAGAAUCUGACAACUCAAUUCUCCUUUGAUGAAUCUGACAACUACACUUCUCGUCACAUUGACAUAAGAAGCGACAUCAACCCAUUUUAUUAAAUAAUCAAUAGCUACUAGGAUAAACUGGUGCCCAUUUGAAGCCUUAGACUCGAUGAGUCCAAUAACAUCUAUUCUCCACAUUGAAAAUGAUCAUGGUGAUGUUAAAAAAUUGAAAGAGGUGGGUAGUACAUGUACUUUAUCAGCAUAGAUUUGACAUUUGUGACAUUUUUUUACGUAACUAAAGCAAUCGGACUCCAUGGUUAACCAAUAGUAGCUAACUCUUAAUAUUUUUCUUCCCAUUGCGUGCCCGUUUGCAUGGAUUCUGAAAGAACCUUCGUGAACCUCUUGAAUGAUUUUCUCUGCUUCCGCUUGAUCCACACAUCUGAGGAAAACCAUAUCGUGAUUUUUCUUCUAAUGCACAUCACCAUUUAAGAAGAAGUUCAUUGGCAACAUUCUUAAAACCCUCUUGUCGUUCUCUGAAGUACCCAAUGGAUAUUCCUUAUUCUUAAAAUAUGAUUUGAUAUCAUAAAGUUAUGGCUUGCCGUCAAACUCUUCUUCUAUCGAUAAGCAAUAUGUUGGCUUAUCCUUUUGUUGAAUUUUUAUGACCGACACAUCCUAACUAACGCUUAUUUUCAACAUCGAUGACAAUGUGGACAGGGCGUCAGUCAAUUGGUUUUCUUCUCGAGGAAUAUGGUGAAAAAUGAUAUGCUCGAAGUAUUCUACCAGUUCUUUGAUAUGUGUAUGAUACAAAAUCAGUUUGGAAUCUCGAGUUUCCCACUUUCUUGUUGUUUGAUGGAUGACCAAAGAUGAGUCUCCAUAUACCUCAAGAACUUUUACCUUUGAUUCAAUGGUUGCUUUAAUUCCCAUGACACAUGCCUCAUAUUAUGCAAUAUUGUUUGUGCAAUCAAAACACAAUCUAGCCGUAAAUGGAGUGAACUGGUUCUCUAGGGAAAUCAAAAUGGUUCCAAUUCCAUGCCCUAAUGCAUUAGAAGCACCAUCAAACACCAACAUCCAUUUAUCUUUAUCAGGUGAUUCAGUCUCUUCAAAUAAAGUCAUGAUGCCUUCAUCGGGGAAUUCACACUGCAUUGAUUGAUAAUCUUAUACAGGUUAUUAGCCAAGUACUCUGUUAGGACACUUCCUUUAAUAGCUUUUUGUGUAACGUAUACCAAAUCAUAUUAUAAUAACAACAUCUGCCAACGGACAAUCCUUCCAGCAAGAACAAGUUUCUCAAAGAUAUACUUAAUUGAUUCCAUUUUAGACACCAAGAAAGUUGUAUGAUAUAUCAUGUAUUGCCUCAACCGGCGAGCAGCUCAUGCUAAUGCGCAACAUGUUUGUUCAAGCAAUGAAUACCUUGUUUCACAGCUGGUGAACUUUUUGCUCAAAUAAUAAAUAACAUGUUCUUUCUUACCAGAUUCAUCAUGUUGCCCUAGUACACAAUCCAUUGACUCAUUAAGUACUGUUAAGUACAUAAUAAGUGGUUUUCCUGGAACUGGAGGCACUAAGAUUGGAGGUAUUGACAAGUACUGCUUAAUUUUUUCGAAAGCUUUUUGACAAUUCCCAUUCCAUUCAACCUUUUCGUCUUUACGCAACAACUUGAAAAUUGGCUCGCAUGUAGCGAUGAGAUGCGAUAUGAACAUGACAAUGUAAUUCAAUCUACCCAAAAAGCCACAAACUUCUUUUUCCGUGCGUGGUGUGGGCAUUUCCUAUAUUGCUCUUACUUUAUCUAGGUCCACUUCUAUCCCUUUUUGACUAACGAUAAACCCAAGUAACUUGACUGAUCUUACCCCAAAAGUGCAUUUAGCAUGAUUUAAACAGAGUCUGAACUUCCUUAGUCGCACAAACAACUUUUGAAGGUUAACAACAUGGUCUUCUUCGGUUCGAGAUUUUACAAUCUUAUCGUCCACAUAAACCUCUAUUUUCUUAUGCAUCAUGUCAUGAAACAAAGUUACUAUUGCUCUUUGAUAGGUUGCCCCAACAUUCUUUAAUCCAAAUGACAUCCCUUUAUAACAGAAAGUGCCCCAUUGUGUGAUGAAUGUAGUUUUUUCCAUAUUUUUGAGAGCCAUCUUGAUUUGAUUAUACCUUGAGAAACCAUCUAUGAAAGAGAAAAGAGAAUAUUGAGCAGUGCAUUCUACUAGGACAUCAAUGUGAGGCAAAGGAAAAUAAUCUUGAGGACUAGCUUUAUUUAAAUCCCGAUAAUCAACGCACAUUCGAACCUUUCCAUCCUUUUUUGGAACUGGGACAAUAUUAGCAAUCCAUUGAAGAUAUUUUGCUACUGCUAAGAAACCAACAUCAAAUUGCUUCUUGACCUCUUCUCUAAUUUUAAGUGACAUAUCAGGUCUCAUUCUCCUCAAUUUUUGUUUAAUUGGAGCACAUUCAGACUUGAGUGGUAGCUUGUGUUCAACUAUGUUAGUAUCUAGCCCAGACAUAUCUUGAGAUAACCAUGCAAAGACAUCCACAUAAUCAAAUAAAAGUUUAACCAACUUUUCUCUUUCACUUUCUUUCACAGACAUACCAAUUCUAUUUUCUUUCUUAUUAUGUUCAGUCCCAAAAUUGACCACCUCAACAUGUUCUUGAUAGAGUUGGAUUAUCUUAGCUUCCUGUUCAAUUAACCUUUCUAGUUCUGGGGGAUGCUCACAAUCUUCUUCACAAUCCUCAUUAGUGUGAUUAAUUGGGCAUUCAAAAUUACAAGAAAAUGGUCUAGCGCUGCUAUUUUCAACAUAUUCAUUUUCGACUCUGCAUUGUUUAAAUUAAGAAGAAAAAGUAAAAAAGAAAAUAUGAAUAAGGAUUGCCAAAAAAGAAAAGAGAAAAACAAAAAUAGUCGGAGAAUUAAAAAAUGUAUUUAUUGAUAAUAAGUAUGGAAUUGAAAUACAUGCGCCCUAAUCAGUUAUCCUUAUAGACUUGGACAGAGCAAACGAAGUCAAAAUAUACAAUUACUUUGAAAAUGAAUUAACAAACACGGGAAACUCGAUAAUCUUCCAAUUGUUGAGACUAGUGUUUGGAGGACAAGGGUACACCAAUUUGAGGAUAUCACCAUCAACGUGAUCCUCUUCCGCAACAGCCACCUGAUCCACAUAUAUUAUUCGAACGCUUUGAAAUGUUUGGUGAAUGUCACAAAUAUAAAUCUUUUGUGAAUUUGGUACCUGAUUUUCCAAAUGAGCCAUUCUGCUUUCUAUUUUUUCCUUCAUAACCUUUUCUUUGUCAGUUUUAGUAGGUACAUAUCUCAAACCGUACCUAUCGUUAUUUUAUGGUAUUUCUAUCAAUUUUCCAAAUUUAACAAAAACUCCUCCUUCUAACAUGGAUUUUGUAGACUUCAAUGAUGUGGUAGAUAGUUUUGGUUCUUUUAAGCGAAAUCCUUCACCCAUGAAGAGAACAUUGGCGAUUUUUAAUGCUUGGAAGGUAGUCUCUAUGGCUUCCUCAGUGUCUUUAAUGUAGCUUGUUUAAGAUUUAUGACUUACUAUCAUAUCUUCUUCCCCAAAUAUUUUCACCAGCUUAUUGUUCAUUAUAAACUUUAUCUUUUGAUGAAGGGUGGAUGUCACUGCUCCAGCAGCGUGAAUCCACGGUCUCCCUAAAAGGCAACUGUACGUUGGCUUAAUAUCCACCACUUGGAAGGUUAUUCCAAAGUUAUGGGAUUCGAUUUGAAUCAGCAGGUCAAUCUCACCAACAACUUGUCUUCUGGAUCCAUCAAACUCUUUCACCACCAUAGCACUUGACUUCAAACAAACCCCAUCAACGAAUAGUUUGAUAGUGUUGACUUCGGCAUGACAUUUAACGAUGAACCGUUAUCAACUAGCACUCAUGUAAGAAUAUGAUAAUGACACCUCACAGAGAUGUGUAUUGCCUUAUUAUGCUAUAUCCCCUCAGUUGGUAAUUCACCAUCGCUCAAACUCAUGCUGCUACUGGCGGUGAUAUUACCGAUAACUCCAUCAAACUGGUCGACAAUGAUAUCAUGAGUAACAUGAGCCUCGUUUAAAACUUUUAUCAAUGCCCUUCUUUGCACUACAUAGUUUAAUAACAAAGAAAUAACAUAUCUUGAAAGGGGUUUGAUUUAGUUGAUCUACCACCUUAUACUCACUUUGCUUGAUAAACUUCAAAAAUUCGUUAGCUUCUUCUUCAGGCAGUGUCUUUUUCCAUGUUUCUGGUUAUUUUAUGGCAUGAUACACAACUUAUUUCCCUUUUUCUCCAUGACCCUCCUUUUUCUUAAGUUGUUCAGGAGUGUAUACUCGACCACUCUGAGUCAUCCUACCAAUCCCUGAAAUAUUGGUGACAUUAGUACCUUGAGGUUUAAAGUUAUCACCUGAUUGAUUAUUGACUAAACGAGAUAUAACUUCAUAACUCCAUAGUACCGCCUUGUUAUUUUCAUAAGGAAAAUAAGUUGUUUCUUGAACAAUUAUUGCAUUUUUCCCACUAGGAGUUGGCUUAGGAUUCUCUUUUCUAUAGAGGAUUUCCAAUGGUCUUGGAAAAAAUAUUUUAUUUUCUAUGCACGACUCUAUGGUCGAUACGUGAUAAUCUUUUUUAUAUUGGUCUAUCUCUUCUUCAAUGAAAUUGACAACGGUAUCUCCGUGGCCCGACAAAGGAUUAUUUCCUACGUUGGGACCGUCUUCCUUAAAGGUAAGCUAUUUUGCAUUAAUCAGUUCUUGCACUUUAGAUUUUAGGGUUUGACUAUCUUCAACAGAAUGCCCUACAGCUCCUACAUGGUAUUCACAUUUGGCGUUUGGGUUAUACCAUUUCAAGAAUGGUGGUUCCAGAGGUGUCUUUGGCCUCAAGACUACCAUUGAAUUCUGGAAUAGGUGAGACAACAAUUGGCUGUAUGUCACGGGAAUUGGGUCAAAACGAGUGAUCUUUAUUUUCUUAGUGAACUGGUGAUUUGUAGUGUUUCAGAAUUGGAUUUUGGUUCCAUUGGUUUUGUUGGGAAAACGUGACAAGUGGUGGUUGAACCAGGGAUGAUUGAUAAAAAGGUGGUCUUGAAGGGUGAUAUUGAGGGUAUGAAGCUUGUGAGGUUCCAACCACAUAUGGAUAGGGAAUGUAAGGAGUUUGGGGUUUCGGGGGUUGGAAAUUUGGAGGUCAAUGAGAAUUCAUGGAUGGAAAAUAAGAGACUCUUAGGUAUACCAUUACAACGUUAACAUCCUUUUCUUUCUUUUUUAUGAUUGUUGUUUGGGGUCUCUUCACGCCACUUGCUGCACAUACGAUCUUGCCACUCCUCAUCCCACUUUCUAUGCUUUCUCCUAUCAUGACUAGGUCAAAAAAGUUUGAUGACAUACUCUCAAUCAUCUUAUCAUAAAAAGGAGACUGGAAAAUAUCCAUAAACAUUCCAACCAUUUCUCUUUUAGAUAAAGGAGGUUCUACACCUGAUGCCUUUUCUCUCCAGCGUUGUGCGUAUUCUUUGAAAGUUUCGUUGUCCUUUUUCAAUGAAUUUUACAAUUGCAUCCUAUCAGGGGCCAUGUCAAUGUUGUACUUGUAUUGUUUCAAGAAGACAUCAGCCAAGUGUUUCCACGAACGAAUUCUAUUUCGCUUGAGAUCCAUAUACCAUCUUAACGAUGCCCCACUCAAACUAUCUUGGAAAAAGUGAAUGAGAAGUUUUUUUUUUAUGAGCAUGAGAAUCCAUUUUUUUGCAAUACAUAGUCUUAUGAUUUUUAGGACAUGUGGCGCCUUGGUAUUUUUCAAACUCAGGAACCUUGAACUUUGGAGGGAUAAUCACAUCGGGAACCAAACACAUAUCAAAAGCUUCGAGACCAUAUACAUUAUGCCCAUCAAUUGCUUUUAUUCGCUCUUAAAAAACAUGGAAUUUCUCUUUCGAUUUUAAGCCUCUUGUUGCUUCUUUCAAUAAAUUGACUCUUACAUGUAUUUUCUAAUCGUAAGUUCUCAUUCUCUUGGGAGACUUUUUCUAACUUCAAUUGUAGCUCUUUUUCUCCUCUUCAGAUUUUAACAAUGAUGCUUUGAGUUCUUCUAUUUCUUCACUGGCAACAAGGGUAGGUUCAGGUAUUUCCUGAUCACUCGAGGGUGUACUGUGGAAAGGCAACUUGAUUUCUUGGACUCUGUUCUUUACCCAUUAUUGAUAGGGUUCUUUUGUGCUAUUAUUGAUAGGGUUCUUUUGUGCUGCAACUUCUGCAUCCGAGUACUUUUCCUUUUCUAAUGAUCAUUUCCCAAGCUUGACUUAUCCUUCGCAACAUUGAUGAGUCUACUAUACCAGUAUUGUGCAAAGCAAAUGCUUCCAACGACUUAUCAUCUGGUUUUUCCAACAUUGGGUAGCCAAGCUGUCUCAGAGCUACCGUCGAAUUGUAAUUAAUACAUCCUUUGGUUCCCAUGAGAUGUACAUUUGGGAAAUCUCCGCAUUGACAUAUUACUUCAUCCACCCCUUGUUCUCUAUGAUACCAUGAAAUUGUGUCCCCAGUAAGGCUAGCUAUACUAUGAGCCCAUUCACGAUUAUUUUUAAUUCCAACAUGAUACCAUUUCUUGAACAUAUGAGACGUGAACCAGAUGUACAACAUUGGAAACACAAGACAAAAUUCGUCCCCUUUUCUUCUCAUGUCACAUAUGUAGAGAGUAGUAUACAUCAGCAAGAAUCGCGGGAACUGAAUUUUGUUUAUGUUUGUGAAAAGCUAAGAAGACAUUGAUGGCAACAAAAUCUAAAAAAUUAUCAAGGUUUGAGAAUAAAACAAUACCAUAGAUAAUCAGUGCCAAAACAUCUAUAAAAGACUCUAUUCUUUUUUAACGACUAAAUCCUGGCAUUUUUGCUCUAGAUAUUUUCUUAAAAAACCAUGAAUGGUUCUUUUUUCCUCUUUUGUACUUGCCAACUCUCUUAUGUCGAUUUUCAACACUUCAACAAUUGCACCAAAACUCGGUGGUUUCCCAAUAUAUCGAUAAGGAUUUCCUUUCUCUAGGGAGUAACCUAAUAUUCGUUCAAAUUCCUCUAAUGUCGGGGCCAACUUAAAGUCUUGAAAGGUGAAACAUCUUAAGAGAGGAUCGUAAUACUGAGCCAAUGUAGUGAGGGCCCCUAUUUGCACAUUCACUGCCAAGAGAUUUAGGAUCUUCCCAUAUUUGUGAAAGAAACUCUCACAUUGUAUAGUUUUCAUUUGAUUGCUGAUGCCUUUUAAACUUUUCAAAUCAGGUUGCUUGAACUUUAAAAGUAAAGUUUUUCUUUUUUCCGAUCCCAUUGUCCACUUUAAUUUAACACAUGACUAAGGUCCUUAUGUUUCCCCAACAAUCCUAAAAAUUGAUGCAAAAUGCCAAUUCAUUUUUCAAAAGAAACAAUGUCAUGAGAUAUGGAUGCAAUUAUGCAUAAUGACUGUUGUGAAUAUAUAACAUUUUGAAUGAAUGUGUGAGGUAUUCUUGUUGCUUAUGGAUAUUUUUAUGAUGAAGUGAUCUAUUGGCUUGUGUAGUGAAGCUCUCACAAGGGUGACUCUAUAGUUCUAAACACGGUUCCUAGAGCCAGUAACCCUAUUUUGGAUUAUUGCCAACAACAAUAGGUAAACUAUUUGGAGUGACAAUAUCCUCAACAAGAUCAAACUUUAGGUGAGAUCUUCAUGCUAACCAAACAAGAUGUACAUCCAGAAUGCUACCACUACACAAUCUCGAAACUAAACUUAAGUUUUGUUCUAACCCGGGUAUAAGGUUCAACUCAUAAGUGUGUGUCUUAGUAAAAGUGUAGGGUGUGGAAUAAGAAUGAUUCAAUAACUCCAUAAUGACAACAAAACAUAUAUACAUAAUAAAUAAAUAAAUAAAUAAAAAUGAUCUACAAACUUAAAAAAAAUAUUAUAAUGUUAACUAAUACUUAUUAAGAAAUAAUAAACACAUAAAAUAAAAUAAAAUGAAAAGCAAACAAAUAUAGAAAAGUUAAAAAUUAUGCACAAUUAAUUUGUUAGACUUGACUCUCCAAAAUAUCCCCAGUGGAGUCGUUAGCUGUCGCGGUCUAAAAUUUCGAGUGUUUCUCAGAUUCAAUGGAGUCGUCACCAAAAUUUAUUUUAAAAUAGGGAAAAUAUUGGAAAACCCUUAAAAAUAGAAAAAAUGAUAUUUGAAACCAAAUUUUGAGUUCUGGAGUCGAUUAUGCAUAGGAAAGGUAUUAACACCCUACGACAUUCGUUAAAACAACGGUUACCUAUGACUAAUUGUGCAAGAUUAAUAUUAACUUAUGUAUAUUUAUUUCUCCUUCUUAUUAAAUAUGAAUAACAAUUUGUUUUUAAAAAUAUGAUUUUGGAAUAAAUGUGUGCUUAACAAAUAAAGGACAAAAAAAAAAAAAAAUUUUAUUAAUGUGCUUGACAAGAAUGUGAUCUUGCUCCCACGUAUCUGUCGGUGCGAUGGAGAAAUCAAAACAACGUAGUUCUUGGGUAGAAAAUGUUGAUAUGUUGAUUCUAUUAUUAUAAAGAAAAUCGGUUUUGUUAUAUUUAAAAAAAAAUGUUUGACGAGAAAAGAAAAUGAGUUUGUUUGACUUCAAAUUUUUUUUUAUGUGAGUUUUAGGACUCUCAAGCUGUACAACAUGUGUCUCAAAAACUCAGAAUAAAAAAAUGUCUAAUUUAGUUAAUCCUUUUAAGAAUGUUUUAUAUUAUUUUCGAUUUUAAAGUUGAAUUUUAAAACCACCAAGUAGUACAACUUGUGUUUCAACAACUCAAAUAUUAAAAAAAAGAUCACAUGUAAUUAAUCAAAUUUAAAAAGUUGAUUUUAUAUUUUCUUAUUUAUAAAAAUAAGUUUUAGAAUUAUAAAUUAUGUUUUGCUACUCAUGGAUUAAAAAAAUAUGUCAUUUUUAGUUAACCUUUAAUAAUAAUUUUUAUUAAUUAAUUUGUUUAUGAAUUUUAAUUUAUUAAUUUAUCUAUGAAGAUGAGAUUUAAAACUGCCAAGUUUCAGCAAUUUGUUUCCUAAUAACUCAAAGAUAAAAAAUAAAAAAAUAAAAAAAAUAAAAAACACAUCUAAUUAAAAAAAUUUAUAAGUCUGUUUUUAUACUAAUUUAUUAAAAAAAUAAUAAAUAAAUAAAAUAAAAUAAAAACAGAGUUUUAAAACUAUCAAGUUGUACCGUUUGUGUUCUAAUAACUCAAAUAUUAAAAAGAUGUCGCAUCUAAUUAAUCUUUAAUGAAAUAUUUGUUUGUGUUUUUUUUUUUGUUUUUUAUGAAAUUAAUAUUUAGUUAUGAAACAUUGUUUUUUAAAACUAACUCUAAAUUGGCUGAAUUUGGAUGAACAAAUUUACCGUACUUUUUGUUAAAGCCCGAGCUCAACUAAACAAAACAAACAAAUUAAAAACAUCCAAAUGAAACGCUAGCUAGUUGCUUACAAACUCAAAGAAGGGAGCGGCCGUUGUGCCCAUCAGUUGGGAAAAAAAAUGAAAGAAACGCGUUUGGAAGAGGAGUUACCUUCUCUACGGUAAAAUCAAGCUUCGUUGCCAUAAUGGCGAAGUUUGAUGUUUACGAUAUCGAUGUUUCCAAAGUAACAGACAAUUCUGAUUGGAAGAUGUUGUUGAUGCACACGAUGCCGAAGUCGAUAAUCUUGAUCGAGGAUCUCGAUCGUUUGCUCGUAGGGAAGCUUUUGCGUUUUUCUGUUUGUUAAUACUCCCUCUGAUUUUUUUUUUUUUGGUAGUGUUUUGUUUUUGUUCGAUUUCUUUCUUCCCCCUUUUUGAAAUUUAAAGAAGAUGUAUUUAUAGAUUUUUUAUUUAUUUGUUUAGUUGCUUUCUUUGUCUGUGCCCCUGUUUGAGUUUUCCAGAUCUUUUGUUUGAUGCUUCUUUUCUUUUACUCAUCAUAUGAGUUUUUUCUACACAUCUGAUGCUUUCAUGAUUUUAGCUUAUGUUUGUUUUUAUCUGUUCAUUUGCUGAGCUUUUUAUUUGCAGCUUUAAUUUGUCUUUUUUUUUUUUUUUAAACUCAAAAGUCUGUCUCUUUGCUAUGUAUAAUGUGUACAAUGUUAUUAUGAGUAAAGUAUCUAUAGCUUACUCAUAUGAUAGAUAUUGACAUUUUGAGGUAUAGAAGUAUAUAUAAAUAUGAAUCCAUGUCCUUGAAGGUAUAUAGAUUUUCAUUAAAUAUGCAUUAAUUUAGUUUCGAUGUAUUUAAAUGUAUUGAGAAAUAGUAAUAUUUUUCAAAUAAAAAUGUAUAACUAAAAGUUCUCAAAAAGCUAACUAUAGUUGUUAUAUAGAGAACUCAUAAAAAUAACUUACAUACAAUAUUGUAACUUGAUAUGAAAAAGUAUUUCACUCAUACACUUGAAUAUGUAAUUGAAUGGACAUAAGUGAGAUGGCCAUAUAUAUUGUUGACAAUCAAUAUUGUUCGAUUAAUUUAAGUUUUAUAAGUAUAAUAUAAUAAUAGUUGUGACAAAUUUAGAUAUAACAUCAAUAUUUAUAAAAAUUGUUAAACAUAAUAAUGUUAUAAAUAAAGCAUAAUAAGAUGACAACAAAAUAUAUUUUGGGUUUGUUUUAUGUAUACAAUUCGAUAAUAAUCUAGGUAAGAUUUCACGAUUUCAAAGAAUUACCGCGGAGGAAUGUAAUUGUGUAUUUGUGUAUGAACGCGAAAGGAGAAUUGAUAACGUAAAAUAUUAGUCAUAUAAUUAAUUGACAUAAAUUAAAAGUAAUUAUAAAUACAUAAUAAUAUAUAAAAUUUUAUAAAAAAAAAUACAUAAUAAGGUGAUAACAAAAUAAAAUUGGAGGUUUGCUUUAUGUAUUAAAUUUAAUAAUAAUCUAGGUAAGAUUUCACGAUUUCGUAGAGUUACUUUGGAGGGACGUUGCCACUUUCUUUAGAGAAAGCAAUCUUGACUGACUCAUACUGAUUUAUUAUCUUACCCUGUUGAGAUAAUACAAAGAAUUAGAUAAAGAACAUUUAUGACAAUAUUUAUGAGUGAUUAUGUGGUUUUUUUCAUUGAAAAUUUAAUUAGUGGAAUAAUUGUGCAUGGAUAAUUGAUACUGUAAAAUAUUACUCAUAAGUGUAAUUGAUUAUGUAAUUGAUAGUGUAAAAUAUUACUCAUAAGUGUAAUUGAUUAUGUAAUUGAUAGUGUAAAAUAUUACUCACAAUUAAAAAAUGCACGUAUGAUGAUAAAAAGCAUUUAUGAUGAUAUUUACGAUUAGGUGAGUUUUUUUCAUUGAAUUUAAUGAGUAAUUGAAUUUCAAUGUAUGAAAUCAUUACUCACUCCUAAGUGGAAUAAUUGUGCAAGCAAGAUUGAUACUCAUAAGUGUAAUUGAUAGUGUAAAAUAUUACGUAUAAUAAAAAAAUGCAUUAUAAAAAUAUUAUAGAAAAAUAUAAUGAGAAUUAAAUGAGUAAUUGAAUUUUAUAUGUAUGAAAUUAUUGAAUAAUUGUGUAUGAAGGUGAAAGGAUGAUUGAUAACGUAAAAUAUUACUCAUAUUAUUGAUUGACCUAAAUUGAAAGUAAUGACAAAUGCAUAAUAAUGUUAUAAAAAAUUUAUAAAAAAAAUAUAUAAUAAGAUGACAACAAAAUAGAUACGGAGAUUUGUUUUAUGUAUACAAUUUGAUAAUAAUCUAGGUCAGAUUUCACAAUUUCGAAUUGUGAAUCAGCGAGACAGUCGAGGAUGACGAAGCAGAAGCGGAACGCGGAGGGACGUUGCCACUUUUUUUGGACCGAGAGGAUGAUUGUGAAUCGUGAAUCGGCGAGACAUUCGAAGAUGGGGAAGCAAAAGUUGACUGCGGAGGAACGUUACCACUUUUAUGAACGACGGAGGGACAUCGAAGAUGAUGAGGAAGCAGAGAAAGUUGGAAGAUCUUAGCGAAGAAGUGGAUGCAUUAGAAUCAAGAAGAAGAAACUGCUGGAGGAUAUUAUGAUGAAGGAGAAAACGUUAACUAAGGAUUAGAAGGAUUAAAAGAGGGAAAAAGUAUUUAAAAACUAAGUAGAGAAAAAUGAGGUGAAACACAACACACAAGAGAACAAGAGAGUGAAGUAACAUUGUCGAUUUACAAGGAAAGGGGUUUGAAUUGUAAAUGUACCUAUUUAAAAAUUCAUAAAGAAACCUCAAGAUUUAACUCAAGAAUGAUCUUGGUUAAGAAAACAGAAAACGGAGAACGUUCUUGGUUAGCUUAAAAACAGAAAUUCAGUUUAUGUUUUAUCUCAGUUAAUCAAUUAAGCUUAAUAAAUAAAGAGAUAAGAGAAGGAACACCACACAAAGGUAUAUCCUGGUUCACCCAACUCGGGCUACAUCCAGUCCUCACAACUGUGAGUUUUUUUCCACUAAGUGUUUAAAACAAAGAACCUUCUUGGUUUUACAGCACCUAGCUUAGAUUAACCUUGAUCUCUUAAAGCUCUAUUUCUUUCCACCCAGAAAGUAACUUAAUCACAUAUCAAUCUUGAUAGGAUUUCUUACAAUCUAUUCAAACUAUACUUAAACUCUUAUAGUUUGAGUUUUACAAUAAUGUUGAGAUUGUUUUGAUAGAAUCUGAGAUGUCUCAACUCUUGUUUGGGAUUCGAUUCUUUACAAAGAAUUCAGUAGUAAUAACAUGACUGAUAUAAAAGUUCAGAACAGAUUCUUCUUUGUGAAAAUGUGAAUUUCAAGUAUGUGAAUGAUUUAUGAGAUUUUGAUAGCACUUGGAUUUCUUCCGUUUCCCUGGACAUUGACCUUUAUUUUAUAGGCAUUUGGAGCAUUUAAUAAUGGUCAAUAGAGUUGUUAGUAGUGCUCUGUCAGUUUUGACCAAAACCAAUAUAUAUGAUUAAAAAUAUUCUAGCCUUUGAACAUUUUGAAUCUAUUUUGACUGAUGUUGUUUUAGACUUAUUUGAUCAGUUUUCCUUUGAGUUUAAUGAUCCUUGAAGCUUCUCAUUUAAUCAUUGAUGUUACAGCUUCGAUCUGGAGCCUUAAUGCUGUCCAAAUUAGUUUGGUGAAUGAUUAUAAACCUCUGCAGAAGUAAGAAGAUCAAUGCUGAAAUUCUGCAGAAACAUAGACUGAUUAUCAAUCUGGUUUUGACAGUUUGAACAUUCUAGAGAUUGAUGAUCAAUCUGGAGAUUUAGUUUUGAUCAUUCUGGAUAUCUUCCUGAUGUCUUGUACAUAUCAAGAUUGAUUAAACUUUCUUGAUAGUUUGGUUGAAUAAGAUUCAGACGGUUUUAACUAGCUUGAUUCGAGAUCAUUUAUCUUAAUGAUUUGAAAGCCUUCUUUGACUGAAAAGGAUCAUAUUUGUUCCUUGCCAUGUGCUGAUGAACUUGAUAUAAAAUUCAGAGGAAAAAGCUUCGUUGAAAUAAUGGAGAUUGAUUGGUUAAGAGGCUGUGGCAAUCAGUCUUGAACCUGGAGAUUAUUCUUCGUUUUGUCCAGAAUAUUAUUGUUUCUUUAUAUGUUCAGUUUUAAACUAUUUUCUUUGCUUUGCUUGAAUCCUAUCUUUGAAUUAAUUCACUCAAAAACACAAGUUAAAUUUACAAAACAUUGUAGAAUCAUAAUUAACGUUCUUAAUUAACCUUUGUUUAUUUUCGUCAAAAAUUUAAUUUGAGAGUUUGUCUUAACAAUCUCCCCCUUUUUGAUGAUGACAAACAUGUAAAUUUAGAUUUAAAUUCCGAUUCUAAUAUAAAUUUUGAAAAGCUUAAUAGUUCCCCCUCAAUUAAUGCAGUAAGUGAUUUUGACAUAAUUUUAAUCAUGCAUAUAAUUUUGACAUAAGUUGUUUUUCAUUAAUUCAAAAGAGAUAUAGAUCAUCAAUUUUCUUUUAGCACAAUCCUAGAUACAAAAGGGAUUUAAAUACAGAAUAAAAACUAUCUUAAUUCUCCCCUUUUGUCAUACAAAAAGGAAGGAGUAGAAAGAUCCUAAGACACUAAUGACGGAAAAGAUCCUUCAGAAGAGAAAGAUUUUCCUGGGUUAGGAACUUGCGGAAGAGGAGGAACAUGAUGAAGCGGAGGAGGUGCGAUUCCCAGCUUGGGAGCAAAUUGUUAUGUGAGCAAUGUUCUCAACAGAGCAGUCUCCGGAUCUUGCUGAAGCUAUCGUGCCAUUAUAGUUUGAAGGGCAACCAUAAUGUCAGAAUUGGAAGGGUUCAGUCAUGCGAGGAGGAGUAUGGAGGUGAGUGGACGGUUGAGAGGUGGCAGGAACAAUUGUGUUGGAUAGAAUGGUGGAAAUAAAGAUAGAUGGAAUAGUGGCAAAUGAGGUUGCCAUGGAGGGUAAAGGGCCAGAUGAUGUGGAGUGUCUAACAGAUGGGCCAACAUCUUCUAAAAAGAUUAAAAACUAGCUAAUGCCGAAGAUGGAGGAGCUUGUUUUUUGUGGGGAUACAAAGAGUAGAGACAUGGUACUCACAUGAUGACUAGAUAGUAAUGUACCGAAGUCAUGAGGAGGAGAAUGAAGUAUUUGAGAGUAUGAGAGGAAAUCUAUGGAGGAUAAUGUGGAUGAUUGAGGAAAAAUAGAGAAAGUUGAUGGAUUUGGAAUUUUUUUUGGAGAACGUUCUUGGUUUGGAGGAGAACGUUCUGGAGCAGUUUCAAUUACUGCAUUUUCUGAAUGAUCAGAUAUUUGAGGUGAAAAGGGAAUAGGUAUGGUGGCAGUUCUUCUUGUCGAACUUUUUCACUUCAAGGAAGAUGGAAAGGAGGAAGUAGUAGGGUUAGGUUUUUCAGAGAAUGUUUUGCGCAUGUGGGAGAGAUUUUUUGUGGAAAAUUUGGAGAGUUUUAUGAGGGAUUUUUUAGUGGGGAGAAGAAUGUCAAAGUGCCUAAAGAUUUUAGUUAAUAUCAUUUCAUAAGGAACGAUAUUUUUCUUGUAAUCUUUAGUGGCAGCGCAUAUCAUGUGUUGAAUGAUUACAUGGGGAAGAUUAAGGCGCUUACAAUUUAGGAGGUGAUAGAUGAUCAAGGCAUCAUUUACACAGACAUACUCGUGGCUUCCAUGGUGAGGAAGGAGAGUAUGUUGGCUCAUGUUGUUGAAGACUUUUGGAAGGGGCUUGAGAUAUGUGGAGAGGUAGCGAGUAGACCCUUCUUCAAACAAGUCAGAGAGUACUUCAGUCUCUUUAAGAUUCAGAGCUGAGUACCACUUGUUGCCAAAAAUUGAAUGUCCUUCUGUAGGCAGUUAAAGGAUGGAAGCCAGGAUAUUUGGAGUCAUCCUUAUCUCGAUUCCCUUAAUGGUGGAGAUGAUGAGGGAUUUAUCGGAGAAGGUUUUGGCAUUGCAGUAGAAUGCUCUUACAACAUCUGGAUAGUAAUGCUAAGAUAUUUGUAGAAAAGAUGUCCAACCUAGUGCAUCAGUAUGAGGUUGGACAUUACCAUCGACAAUUAGUUUGUCAAAUACAAAAACUCUUCUGAUUCCAAUAGGGCGUUGAGCCCAUUUGUCUUUGAAAUUUUGGAGUUUUUGGGUGAAAUAAGAGGAAGUGUGUUUGGUUUUGAUUUUUUGGAGGGUGGAGAAGGUUCAGAGGAUUCAGAUGUGGAUGAACGUUCUGGACUGGGAGAACGUUUUGAUUUGGGUGAGGGGAAAAAUGUAUGAACUGGGAAAGUUUCUAGGAUUGGAGAAUGUUGUUGAGGAUGUAGAGGAGAUGAGGGUUGAGCAGGAGAACAAUCUUGAUGUGAAGAACGUUCUUGUUGUGGAGAAUGAGAGGGAAUACGGACUGGAGAUUGUUCUUGAUUUAGGGCUGGAGAACAUUUUGGAGAUGGAGAAUGUUCUGGAGUGGCAGGAACAAUGGGUUUUAAGUUUUGUUUGGGUGCAUGUGUUUUCGUUCUUCGGGGAUUUCUGAGGUUGGUUCUAGCUAGGAAUUGUGCAAUGGUUAUGGUGGUUUUCAUUUUCAUCGAUCAUGGGGUUGGUUUUUUGGAUUGAGAGGAAGGUUGAGAUGGUUUAGGAAGAAAUUUUAUGGAGUGAUGGGUUUGGUUUGUGCUUUCUCUAUAGCGGUUGUGUGAAGGGGAGUUUCAGAUGAGUCAUCAGUCUCGAAAUCGAAGAUGAUUGACACGUCCCGUGUCCCUUAUAAAUGAAAAUAAUAAUAAUAAUAAUAAUAAUAAUAAUAAUAAUAAUAAUAAUAAUAAUAAUAAUAAUAAUAAAAUAAUAAUAAUAAUAAUAAAACCAACUUUUCCCUUUUCUUUUUUUCAUUUCACUCUUCCCCCUUCUUCCUUCUCUCUCUUAGCAACCCAUCCUUCUCCAUUCUUCUUCUUCUUCUUCUUCUUCUUUCUCUCACUUAAAGCCACAAUAAACCCAUGGAAAGGGUAUACAUUCUCUAAGCAAGCUUCCUCAUAUUUUCCCAAGUUCUUGGGUAUAAUUUUUGGGUUAGGGUUUGUGUUCUAAGGAAAUAAAAAGGUACCCAUCUCUUGAGAGUUGUUGAUUGAGACUCAUUGAGGUAAAUGCACAACUCUAAUCCUAGUAUGAAUUCAUAGAAAAAUGUAGUUUUUUUUAAAAAUCUUAUUUUUGUGCUUAAGGUAUACUUAAACGAUUUUUAGGGUUUCCUAGAGUUAGCUAAACUUUAGAAUAAAUUUUUCUAAAGUAUUGGAAAUAUUUUGAUACUCAAAUGUGUCAAUUGAGACCCUACCGACUACUCUGAGAGUUGUUGGAGAGCAAACUUAGACGAUUCUCCAUAACUGUGAGUUGACGACGAUCAUCGUCAUAUAUUUUUAUAUAAUGCUAUUAUUAUUAUUAUUAUUAUUAUUAUUAUUAUUAUUAUUAUUAUUAUUAUUAUUAUUAUUAUUAUUAUUAUUAUUAUUAUUAUUAUUAUUAUUAUUAUUAUUAUUAUUAUUAUUAUUAUUAUUAUUAUUAUUAUUAUUAUUAUUAUUAUUAUUAUUAUUAUUAUGAUUAUUAUUUUACUUGUUUUCUAUAUUAAAGUAUUUAUUGAAAAAUUUAGGAAACACAACCUUUGUAUUUUUUGUCGCUGGUCUGCAGGGAUUACAACAGGUUGUGCAACAACUUGUUGGGGUUGUCGUCAGACAACAACAGGAGGGUGAUCAAAGGCAUGAAAAUGUCAAUGAUCAACAAGAGGUUAGACAAGCUGAGCAUCAGACGACUGUUGCAAUGAGGGGUAUUGAGGUCACUUUACCAGACUUCGUGAAGCUUAAACCCCCUACUUUUUCUGGGUCUAGUGCAACUGAGGAUCCACAACAAUUCAUUGACAGUCUAGAGCGGCUUUGGAGAGCAUUGGGUUGUUUUGAGGUAAGAGUAGUAGAACUGACAUCAUUUCAUCUAAAACUAAUAGGCGUGGCACAUGGUAGACAAGUGGGGUCACCUCCGUUAGCAUGGAGAGAGUUUUCUCAGUUGUUCAUGGCUCGUUUUCUUCCGGAGAGUGUUAGAGAUGGAUUAGCUCAUGAGUUUGAGCGAUUGGAGCAAACAGAGGGUAUAACAGUUUUAGAGUAUAGUGCUCGUUUUACACAACUCUCUAGACAUGCUCCUUAUCCUAUCACGAGGAGAUGCGUGUUAAGAGGUUCAUUAGAUGAUUGAAGGAUUAUUUAUUUAGAUCUGUGGUUGGGUCGAAUUGUUCUACUUUUGCUGAGGUUUUGAGUUUAGCCCUUUUGAUUGAGCAACGACAGAAGGAAAAGGGAGGCAAUAAACAAGAUUCACAUAAGAAGCAAAGGAUUGAAGGAUCUUACAGUAACUAUUCAAAUCGUGGUGGUGGAUCUAUGUUUGGUUAGUUUUACACAGCUCUCUAGACAUGCUCCUUAUCCUAUCACUGAGGAGAUGCGUGUUAAGAGGUUCAUUAUAGGAUUGAAGGAUUAUUUAUUUAGAUCUGUGGUUGGGUCGAAUUGUUCUACUUUUGCUGAGGUUUUGAGUUUGACCCUUUUGAUUGAGCAACGACAGAAGGAAAAAGGAGGCAAUAGAUAAGAUUCACAUAAGAAGCAAAGGAUUGAAGGAUCUUACAGUAACUAUUCAAGCCGCGGUGGUGGAUCUAUGUUUGGUUAUCAGUGGCAACAAAGACUCAUGUCUCAAAGGGGUGGUCAUAGUGGGCAGUCUUCUGGGACAGUGCAGAUUCUGGAGCAGCAUCACAAUCCAUUUUCCCUCAGAGACAUUCUGGUGUUUCAGCUACACGAUGGUGUAUCGUUCUUGUGAUGUAAUUAUUGAUGACAAGGUGUUGUCGGUAGAUUUAGUAGUUAUUGACUUGAUAGAUUUCGAUGUGAUUUUGGGUAUGGAUUGGUUGGCUUUGCAUCAUGCCACUUUGGAUUAUCAUAACAAAGUGGUGAAAUUUGAGAUACCAGGACAACCAGUCUUCUCGUUUCAAGGAGGACGUUGUUGAGUACCACGUAACCAAAUCUCAGCCUUGGCAGCUAGCAAGUUAAUGAGAAGAGGUUGUCAAGCAUACUUAGCCGUCGUAAGGGACACACAAGUGGCUGAAGAGAAAUUGGAAAAAAUUCCAAUAGCAAGUGAAUUUCCAGAUGUUUUUCCUGAAGAACUUCCUGGGUUACCACCUGAUAGGGAGAUUGAAUUCUCUAUAGACUUAGUUCCAAACACUCAUCCUAUAUCCAUACCUCCUUAUCGUAUGGCACCAGCAGAACUUAAAGAGUUAAGGGAACAACUUCAAGAUCUUCUUGAUAAGGGUUUUAUUCGUCCAAGUUCUUCUCCUUGGGGAGCACCCGUCUUAUUUUUAAAGAAGAAAGAUGGAUCCAUGCGGCUAUGUGUAGACUACCGACAAUUGAAUAAAGUAACUGUGAAGAAUAAAUAUUCGUUACCACGCAUUAAUGAGUUGUUUGACCAACUUCAACGAGCUCAAUGUUUUUCUAAGAUUGAUUUGCGGUCGGGGUAUCACCAGUUGAAGAUUAAGAGGGACGACAUAACGAAGACAACUUUCUGCACGCGUUAUGGACAUUAUGAAUUCCUGGUUAUGUCUUUCGGGCUUACUAAUUCCCCAACAACUUUCAUGGAUUUGAUGAAUCGCGUUUUUAAACCAUUCUUGGAUCAAUUUGUGAUUGUGUUUAUUGAUGACAUCCUUGUUUAUUCCAAGAGUAAAGAAGAACACGAGCGACAUUUAAUGUUGGUUUUGCAAACCUUAAGAGAUAAACAAUUAUAUGCCAAAUUCUCAAAAUGUCAGUUUUGGCUGGAUAGUGUGGCAUUUUUAGGACAUGUUGUGUCUAAGAAUGGAAUAAGCGUAGAUCCAAGUAAGGUGGAAGCAGUCCAGAAUUGUCCCAGACCUACCACAGUGAAGGAGAUUCGAAGUUUUCUUGGCUUAACUGGCUAUUAUCGACGUUUUGUGAAGGAUUUCUCAAAGGUUGCAUCUUCGUUGACUAGGUUGACCCAGAAGAAAGUUGAGUUCCGAUGGACUGAUGCAUGUGGGGAAAGCUUUCAAAAAUUGAAGGAGUACUUGACGUCAGCACCUAUUUUGGCAUUACCUAUAUGUGGUGAAAGUUAUGCAGUUUAUUGUGAUGCUUCUAGAGUUGGGCUCGGUUGUGUACUUAUACAACAAGGUAAAGUUAUUGCCUAUGCAUCUAGAAAACUCAAGAGGUAUGAAGUGAACUAUCCCACACAUGAUUUAGAAAUGGCUGCAGUUAUCUUUGCUCUUAAGAUUUGGAGGCACUAUCUAUAUGGUGAAACUUGUGAGAUUUAUACUGAUCAUAAAAGUCUUAAGUAUAUCUUUCAACAGCGAGACUUAAAUUUAAGACAAAGAAGAUGGAUGGAACUCUUGAAAGAUUAUGAUUGCACAAUCUUAUACCAUCCAGGGUAGGCAAAUGUUGUUGCAGAUGCUUUGAGUAGGAAGUCCAUGGGCAGUCUUGCUCAUAUAGCAGAAGUAAAGAGGCCAAUAGUUAAAGAAUUUCAAGAAGUUGUUGAAAGUGGAAUUCAAUUGGAACUUAGUCAUUUGAGAUUACUUUUAGCCCACGUACAAAUUCGUCCAACCAUAGUUGAUGAUAUCAAAUAAACUCAAAGUCAAGACCCAAACUUGGUGAAUAUGGUAAAUAGUGUUCAGAAUGGUAAAAUUUCAGACUUUUCAGUUGAUUCUGAUGGUGUGCUGAGAUUGAAGGCUUGACUGUGUGUCCCAAAUAUUGGUGGCUUAAGGAGAAAAUUUUUAGAGGAGGCUCAUCAUUCUUCUUAUACUAUUCACCCAUAUUCUAACAAGAUGUAUCAAGACUUGAGAGAAUUGUAUUGGUGGGAAGGGAUGAAGAGAGACGUAGCAGAUUUUGUCUGUAGGUGCUUAGUGUGUCAACAAGUAAAGUCUGAGCACACAAAGCCUGCGGGAUUACUUCAACCUGUUGAAAUACUUGAAUGGAAGUGGGAAGGCAUCGCUAUGGAUUUUUUCACAGGAUUACCACGAACCCAAAAGGGUUAUGACUCGGUGUGGGUGAUUAUAGACCGGUUGACCAAAUCUGCACACUUUUUGCCUGUGAAGACUACUUAUACUGCAUCUCAAUAUGCUAAAUUUUAUUUAGAUAAAUUGUCUCUUUGCAUGGUGUACCGGUGUCUAUUAUUUCGGACCGUGGGGCUCAAUUUAUUGCUCAAUUUUGGAAGUCGUUCCAAACUUCAUUAGGAACUCGUUUGAAGCUUAGCACCGCUUUUCAUCCUCAAAUAGAUGGUCAAUCUGAAAGGACUGUACAAAUAUUGGAAGAUAUGCUUCGUGCUUGUGUUCUGGAUCUUGGGGGUAGUUGGGAUCAACAUUUGCCCUUGAUGGAAUUUGCAUACAAUAAUAGUUAUCAAUCUAGUAUUCAGAUGGCUCCGUUCGAGGCUUUGUACGGAAGACGGUGUAGGUCUCUGAUAGGGUGGUUUGAAGUUGGUGAAGCUAAAUUAGUCGGUCCAGAAUUGNNNNNNNNNNNNNNNNNNNNNNNNNNNNNNNNNNNNNNNNNNNNNNNNNNNNNNNNNNNNNNNNNNNNNNNNNNNNNNNNNNNNNNNNNNNNNNNNNNNNNNNNNNNNNNNNNNNNNNNNNNNNNNNNNNNNNNNNNNNNNNNNNNNNNNNNNNNNNNNNNNNNNNNNNNNNNNNNNNNNNNNNNNNNNNNNNNNNNNNNNNNNNNNNNNNNNNNNNNNNNNNNNNNNNNNNNNNNNNNNNNNNNNNNNNNNNNNNNNNNNNNNNNNNNNNNNNNNNNNNNNNNNNNNNNNNNNNNNNNNNNNNNNNNNNNNNNNNNNNNNNNNNNNNNNNNNNNNNNNNNNNNNNNNNNNNNNNNNNNNNNNNNNNNNNNNNNNNNNNNNNNNNNNNNNNNNNNNNNNNNNNNNNNNNNNNNNNNNNNNNNNNNNNNNNNNNNAAUAAUAAUAAUAAUAAUAAUAAUAAUAAUAAUAAUAAUAAUAAUAAUAAUAAUAAUAAUAAUAAUAAUAAUAAUAAUAAUAAUAAUAAUAAUAAAACCAACUUUUCCCUUUUCUUUUUUUAAUUUCACUCUUCCCCCUUCUUCCUUCUCUCUCUUAGCAACCCAUCCUUCUGCAUUUUCAUUUUCUUUUCUUCUCCUAAAUUAGUCGGUCCAGAAUUGGUUCAAGAUGCCAUUGAAAAAGUUAAAUUGAUUCGGGAUCGUUUAGUGACAGCUCAAAGUAGGCAAAAAUCUUAUUUUGAUAAGAGACGUCGUCCCUUAGAGUUUUCAGUUGGAGAACAUGAAUUCCUACGAGUUUCACCAAUGAAAGGAGUGUUGCGGUUUGGUAAAAAGGGGAAACUAAGCCCAAGGUUCGUUGGACCAUUUGAAAUUUUAGAAAGGGUCGGACCAGUAGCGUAUCACUUGGCACUUCCACCGAAUCUCUCGGGAGUUCAUCCAGUUUUUCAUAUUUCGAUGCUUCGGAAGUAUCUUCAUGACCCUUCUCAUGUGAUUAAUCAUGAAAACGUACAUUUAGAUGAGAGUAUCUUGGGUAUAAUUUUUGGGUUAGGGUUUGUGUUCUAAGGAAGUAAAAAGGUACCCAUCUCUUGAGAGUUGUUGAUUGAGACUCAUUGAGGUAAAUGCACAACUCUAAUCCUAGUAUAAAUUCAUAGAAAAAUGUAGUUUUGUUUAAAAAUCUUAUUUUUGUGCUUAAGGUAUACUUAAACGAUUUUUAGGGUUUCCUAGAGUUAGCUAAACUUUAGAAUAAAUUUUUCUAAAGUAUUGGAAAUAUUUUGAUACUCAAAUGUGUCAAUUGAGACCAUGCCGGCUACUCUCAGCGUUGUUGAAGAGCAAACUUAGACGAUUCUCCAUAACUGUGAGUUGACGACGAUCAUCGUCAUAUAUUUUUAUAUAAUGUUAUUAUUAUUAUUAUUAUUAUUAUUAUUAUUAUUAUUAUUAUUAUUAUUAUUAUUAUUUUANNNNNNNNNNNNNNNNNNNNNNNNNNNNNNNNNNNNNNNNNNNNNNNNNNNNNNNNNNNNNNUGUCGGCUACUCUGAGAGUUGUUGGAGAGCAAACUUAGACGAUUCUCCAUAACUGUGAGUUGACGACGAUCAUCGUCAUAUAUUUUUAUACUGCUAUUAUUAUUAUUUUACUUGUUUUCUAUAUUAAGGUAUUUAUUGAAAAAUUUGGGAAACACAACUUUUGAAUUUUAUCUCGAUUUCGUCAAUUAUUUAAUUUAACUGUCGUUGUUAUAUAAUAUGUUAUUAUUUUGACUUACGUAUGAGUUAAAGUAUUUAAAUCUUGAAUUGUUAUGCAAUUGAAUAUGUUUUUUCAUGAAUUACGAUGAAAUGAUUUUAAAUGCGCGUUUUGGAAAAUCGGUGUUAUUGUUAUUAAAUCGUUAACUGCGUUAGGUGCACCUAAUUACCUCGUUGUGAUUAGGGAGAGUUACCCGUUAGAUGGAGCCGCCCCUAUGAGAAAUAUGGUUCGUAGGAGGAAAGGGCUAUCAACGGGAUGUAAGCUCCCUAAUUGAUACGUAAUGAUACAUUGCGGGAAUUGAGAGGAGAGGGCCAUCCGUUAGAUGGAGCCGCCCCUAAGGGAAACGCUACCCUUAGGAGGAAAGGGCUAUCAAUGAGAUAAAGCCGCCUCUUGGUUCUAAAAAUUUGUAUUGUUACUUGUUUGAUUUUUAUAGUGAUUUUAAGGUUGUUCAUUUUGAUUUCGUUUUGUUAUUCAUUGGAUUUUAAUAUUUAUGUCAAGCGGUUAAACAGUUAUUCGUGCCUUUUGUGUUUCCCUUCUAAUUGAUGAUGGUUGUUGUCUCCUCACUAAGUCUUUGUAACUUACCCCUUUAUGUUGCUUAUUUUUUCAGAUUCGCAAGCAGCUGAGUAGGAAUCUAUUAUUUGAUUCAAGUCUCAACAUACUUCUUUUUUUGGUAGGCCUCUUUGAUCGAGGACCAUUUUUGUAACAUUUGUUGAGUCUAUGUAAAUUGCAGCUAUUUUUGAGUCUAGAAAGUCUAUUUAGUUUUUUAAUGGGAAGUGUAUUAAGCAAUUUGACUAUAUUAUUUGAAUUAUGACUGGAUUGAAAGCUGAACAAGGAAUUUUACAAAAUUUGGGAAUGUUGAAGUUAUAGAGGAUACUCUUUCGAAAUUUCGAGAAAAAGUAUAUAUAUAUUUUUAAAUGGUUAAAGAGCAAUUUAGUUGUUUAAUUGUUAAUUUAGUUGAUAGGCUUGCCAGGCUAGGAGUAUAGCUUGUGCGCCGGUCACGACAUUAAAUUAUUUGGUCGUGACAAUGAUGAAGUAGAAUGGUUUUUCGGUGGAAGCCUUUGAGGUUCCAAUGCCAGAUUGUACUCUCAUGGAACUUCUUUUUGGUAUCGUAGGUUUUCGCAGAUGAGGGGGAACUUGAGCGAGAUUAGGAGGGGGACAUGUGUAGAGUGGUGGAAGAACAGUGGACAAAGGAUUGGGAUUGAUAGGGUUAAGGUUGUGUUCAGGGGAAGAUGAAGGGUAGUCAGAAAAAGUAGUAUAAGAGGAUAUAUGUGGAGGAGUUGGUCGUGGUGGUGGAGAUGGUGAACGUUGUAUUGAGUCAGAUGAAGGAGAUUUCUAAGGAUGGUGAGCAUGAAUAUGCAUUCUUUGUUGGUUAUUGCUUUGUGCCCGCCAUUGUUGUGGUUUGAGAAGAUGAUAAGUUGAGAACACUUUUACUGUUUUUGAGGAAAAAGAAGAUGAAGUGGUUUGGAUGUCACUCUGAGUUUUUGAUUUGAAGAGAAAGAGGCAAUGAUUAUUUUGAACCUUGGGAAGGAGGAGAGAAUUUUUUAGGCGGGAAUGCUUGUGUCAGUCCCCCUUUGCAGACAAAGAGACACAUGCAUUAAAUAUCAAAAUUUUCCUUUUUGGUUUGCGAGGAAAAGUGAUGACAGAAAGGAGAAUGUUGGUUGAAAAAACGAAGACUGAUGUCUAGACAAAUGGAGAUUGAUAAACGUUCUCCGUUUUCUGCAGAAGCAGAUUUUAACCAGAAUUUUUUGGAUUUUUCCUAAUUUUCAGUUACUCUUUGAUCAAAUUGAAACUAUUCUCAACAAGAGGCUUUGUAGAGAUGUCUGCAACUUGAUUUUGAGUAUCAACAAAGAUUAAUUCGAUAUCCUUUUUAUUGACAUGAUCACAAAUAAAAUGAUGUUUUAUUUCAAUAUGUUUUGAUCUAGAAUGUUGUAUUGGAUUUUUAGAUAAAUUUAUUGCACUAGUGUUAUCAUAGUAAAUUGGAAUGCUGGAAUAACUUACUUAAUAGUCUUUGAGUUGAUUUUUAAUCCAAAGAACUUGUGAGCAACAUUUAUCUGCCGAGACAUAUUCAGCUUCAAUGGUUGAUAGAGCUAUUGUGUUUUGUUUUCUGCAAGACCAACUUACAAUGCUUCACCUAAGAACUGACAUGCUCCACUUGUGCAUUUUCUUUCGAUUUUAUCUCCAACAUAAUCAUCAGCAUCACAAUACGCUAUAAGAUCAAAAUGCGAACCUUUUCUAUACCAAAGACCAAGAUUAGUGGUUCAAACAAGAUAUCUAAAAAUUCGUUUUACUGCUGUUAAAUGAGUUUCUUUUGGAGCUGAUUGAAAUCGAGUGCAUAGUCCUACUGCAAAUACUAUAUGAGGCCUACUGGAAGUUAAGUAAAGCAAAGAGCCAAUCGUUCUUCGAUAUUCUUUUUUAGAAACUGAUUUACCGUUUUCAUCUUUCUCUAAAGAAGAGGAUGGAUGCAUGGGAGUAGACAUGAUCUUCGAUUCAUUCAUUUUGUAUUUGACCAACAGAUCUUUAAUGUAUUUUUCUUGACAAAUGAAAAUACCAUUUUCAUAUUAUUUAAUUUGUAAAACAAGAAAAUACCUUAAUUCCCUCAUCAUGCUCAUUUCAAAUUCACUUUGCAUAAGUUUUGAAAAUCCUUCACACAAUUUUUCAUUUGUUGAUCCAAAAAUGAUAUCACCAACAUAUACUUGAACAAUAAGUAAAUCAUUCUUCUCUAUUUUCUUAAAUAAUGUGGUGUCAAUUUUUCCUCUUAAAAAUCCAUUUUUGAUUAAGAAUGAACUUAACUGUUCAUACCAAGCUCUUGGUGCUUGUUUUAAACCAUAUAAAGCUUUGGUAAGUUUGAAAACAUGAUUUGGUUUUGAUUGAUUUUCAAAUCUUGGAGGUUGUUUCACAUAAACUUGUUCAUUUAAGAAUCCAUUUAAAAAUGAACUUUUAACAUCCAUUUGAAACAAUUUAAUAAGUUUGUGGGAUGCAUAUGCAAGGAGUAUACGAAUAGCUUCUAACCUUGCAACCGGAGUAAAGGUUUCAUCGUAAUCUAUACCUUCUUGGUUAUUGUAUCCUUGAGCAACUAAUUUUGCUUUGUUUCUGAUAAUCUUACCUUCUUCAUCUAGUUUAUUUUUGAAAAUCAUCAUGUACCAAUGAUUGUUUGAACUAGUGGAUCGGGUACCAGUGUCCAUACUUCAUUUUUCUCGAACUACAUCAGUUCUUCCUUCAUGGCUUCUAUCCAAGAUUGAUCAGUUAUGGCUUCCUUAAUUAUUUUGGUUCAAUCUGGGAUAUCAUUGCCAUGUUGUUUUCAUCGUUCUUGAAUGAUUUUCUUGUUCGAAUCCCAUCAGUCGUAUCUCCAAUGAUUUGUGUUUGAGGAUGAUCUUCAAUCGUUCUCCAGCUUUUUGGUGGAGAAUGAAAUGGAGAUCGUUUAUUAAUCUCUGUUUUCAACAGACUGUCUUGAUGCUGUAAAUCAGUUUGAGUUUCUUAUUCCUCAUCAUUUUUACUUAUAUCCAAGUCAUCAAACUCAUCAAAUAAUAUGUGCAUACUAAUUUCUACAACAUUAGUUCUUAGAUUAAAUACUCUAUAUCCUUUAGAAUCAGUUGAGUAACCAAGAAAAAUUGCUUUAUCAGAUUUUGCAUCAAAUUUUCCAAUGAUAUCUUUGUUGUUCAAAAUAUAACAAUAACAACCAAAAAUAUGAAAGUAAGAAAUGUUUGAUUUUCUAUUUUUCCAUAUUUCAUAUGGGGUUUGUUGAUGAUUUUUCUUAUGGAUACACAAUUUAAGAUAUAACAAGACGUGUUUACGGCUUCAACCCAAAAAUACCUUUCAACAUUAGACUCUUCCAAGAUUGUUCUUGCCAUUUCUUGUAAUGUUCUAUUUUUCCGUUCAACAACUCCAUUUUGUUGUGGAGUUCUUGCACAUGAUAAAUUAUGAGAAAUACUAAGUUCAUCAAAGAAGGUUUUAAAAGAAGCAUUUAUGAAUUCUCCUCCAUGAUCACUUCUUACAGAAAUGAUGUUAGAUUCUUUUUCAUUUUGUAAUUUUUUGCAGAAUAUUUUAAAUGCAUCAAAUGCAUCAUCUUUUUGUUUUAUAAAUAACACCCAAGUGAAUCUUGAGAAAUCGUCAACAAUAGCAAAAUCAUAUUUCAUUCCUCCUAGACUUGUUGUUUUGAUUGGCCCAAAAAGAUCUAUGUGAAGUAGUUCAAGAGUUUUGUUUGUGGUUACAAAAUCUUUUGAAUGAAAACUACUCUUUACUUGCUUUCCUUUUGCACAUGUUUCACAUAUUUUAUCUUUAUCAAAAUUGAGUUUAGGUAAUCCUGUACAAUAUCUAAUUUUGAGAUUUUUGAAAUUGUUUUCAUACUAAUAUGUUCAACUCUUUUAUGCCAUAUCCAUUUAUCUUUAUUGAUUGACAUAAAACAGGAUUCAUCAGUUUUUCUGGAAAACAAAGUUUCUCCGGUUUUAGUUUUUCUAAUUUCACAUACCUUUGGUUUGAAAAUAACUUCACAUCCAUUAUCACAUAGAUGACUUAUGCUUAAAAGAUUGUGUUUUAAACCUUCAACAUAUUGAACAUCAGUUAUUUGAGCAGAGUUUGUCUUACCAAUAGUUCCUUUACCUUUAAUCUAAGCUUGGUUGUUGUUUCCAAAAGUAACUGAUCCUCCAUCCUUCUUGAUGAAUGUCAUAAAGCAGUUUUUAUCUCCUGCCAUGUGUCUUGAACAACCAUUGUCCAAGAACCAAGGCUUUCUCUUGAUAUUUGGAAAUCCAACCUGCAUAAGAUGUUAUCUCGGCCUUAGGUACCCACUUUGUUUUGGGUCUUUGAGAGUUAGUUUGAAAGAUUUCUUUCUUCUUAAUAUAGCACAUCAUUUUUUUAUGACUGGUUUUGAGACAUUGUGAACAUUUAAUUGUUGAUCUUGGAGUUGAUUUUAUAAUAUGGGUUUCAAAAAGUUUUAAACUUGAUUUUGAAGUAGUUCUAGGUCGUUCUCCUUGUACAGAUUUUCUGGAGAAAGUUCAGCUUUCAUUUUGGAACGUUCUCCGUUUUGAAAGCAGCCUGGAGAAUGUUCUCCUUUUUGCAGAUUUUUCAGCGCUGGUUUAGCAUAACGAUCUUCUCUUUUAAUAAACUUUUUGCUUUCAAUCUUUUCAUCUCUUUUUCUAAAAUAGCAAGCAAAUUCUAGAUGUCCAAGUUUUUUUACAGUAUCACCAUCUAGUUUUACAUUUUUCUUCCUUUCUUUUUGGGACAAAAACGUUUUCAUACAUUUUUGUUUUUUGAGUUUGAUUAAAAUCGAGACCAGCUUUAUCAAAGAUUCCUAUUUGAGAUCCCAUGAUUUUCUGGAAAGUUUCAGUGGCUUUAAUGAAAUUUAACAAAUCAGUUUUAAGAAGUUCAUUUUUCAGUUUUAAGGAGAACGUUAUCCCUUCUUGAUUUUCUAAAUUUUAUUUAUAUGUUUCUUUUAAUUCUUGAAUGAUAUUUUUGAGAACAUUAUUCCUUGCUUGACUCUUUUCUUUUUCUUCUUGAUUGGUUUGUCUUCUUGUAGCAAUAUUUCAUAUGCUCUUAAGGUUCCAAUUAAUUCUUCCAAGGGAAGUGAUUCAAGAUUAUUGGCUUAACUUAUAGCUGUUACCAUUGGUCUCCAUAAGAUUGGAAGACACCUCAUGAUUUUUCCUACUCUUUCUUGAACUGUGUAAGCUUUGCCAGGAGAACGCAUUUCAUUUACUAUUGUUGUGAACCUUGAGUACAUUUCAUCAAUAGUUUCUCCUUCUUGCAUUUCGAACAGUUCGAAUUUGCUUAUGCCAAUGUCUAUCCUUGUUUCUUUGACAUGGCUUGUUCCUUCAUGAUGAGUUUGUAGUGUAUCUCAUACUUCUUUUGCAGUUGUGCAUUCAUCUACUCUUUCACUCUCUCCCUGCUUAAGGCACAUGAUAAGAAUAAUUGAGCUUUAGAGUUUAGGAGUACAUUCGUUUUAUCAUCAGCUGUGCAGUCUGCUUUUUUCUUCGGAGCAGAGGUUGAGUCAUCUUGAUCAACUCUUGGUAUGAAAUCUCCAUCUGUAAUGAAGCGCCACAUCCUUGUAUCUUGAGAUUUCAGAAACAGCUACAUCUUAUUCUUCCAGAAAUAAUAAUCAGAUCUAUCAAAGAAUGGUGGUCUAUUCGAAGAUCCUCCUUCAACAAUGUAUUUGGCUUCCGACAUCUUUUCUUUUAGAUAUUUUCUCUAGCAUUUGUUAGGUGUUUUUAAUCUUUCUAGAGACCGUGCUCUGAUGCCAAUUAAAGUAACAAUGUCGAUUUACAAGGAAGAGGGGUUUGAAUUGUAAAUGUACCUAUUUAAAAUUCCUAAAGAAACCUCAAGAUUUAACUCAAGAAUGAUCUUGGUUAAGAAAACAGAGAACGUUCUUGGUUUUUACCAAAAAACGGAGAGCGUUUUUGGUUAGCUUGAAAACAAAAAUUCAGUUUAUGUUUUAUCUCAGUUAAUCAAUUAAGCUUAAUAAAUAAAGAGAUAAGAGAAGGAAUAUCACACAAAGAUAUAUCAUGGUUCACCCAACUCGGGCUACGUCCAGUCCUCACAACUGUGAGUUUUUUCCACUAAGUGUUUAAAACAAAGAACCUUCUUGGUUUUACAGUACCUAGCUUAGAUCAACCUUAAUCUCUUACAAGCUCUAUAUCUUUCCACCUAGAAAGUAAUAACACAGUGUGAUAUAAAAGUUUUGCUUCGAUUCUUUACAAAGAAUUCAGUAGUAAUAACACAGUGUGAUAUAAAAGUUCAGAACAAAUUCUGCUUUGUGAAAUUGAGAAUUUCAAGUAUGUGAAUGUGAAUGAUUAUUAGAUUUUGAUAGCACUUGAACUUUUUCCUUUUUCCUGGACAUUUCCUUUCUUUUAUAGGCGUUUGGAGCAUUUAGUAAUGGUCAAAAGAGUUGUUGGUAGUGCUUUGUCAGUUUUGACCAAAACCAAUAUAUAUGAUUAAAAAUAUUCCAGCCUUUGAACAUUUUGAAUCUAUUUUGACUGAUGUUGUUACAGACUUCUUUGCUCAGUUUGCCUUUGAGUUUAAUGAUCCUUGAAGCUUCUUAUUUAAUCAUUGAUGUUACAACUUUGAUCUGGAGCCUUGAUUCUGUCCAAAACAGUUUGGUGAAUGAUUAUAAACCUCUGCAGAAGUAAGAAGAUUAAUGCUGAAAUUAUGCAGAAAUGGAGAUUUAUUAUCAAUUUGGUUUUGACAGUUUGAACAUUCUAGAGAUUAAUGAUCAAUCUAGAGAUUCAGUUUUGAUCAUUCUGGAUAUCUUUAUGAUGUCUUGUACAGAUCAAGAUUGAUUAAACUCUUGACAGUUUAGCUGAAUAAGAUUCCAAUUGUUUCAACUAGCUUGAUUCGAGACCUUUUAUCUUAAUGAUUUGAAAGCCUUCUUUGACUGAAAUGGAUCAUAUUUGUUCCUUGUCAUGUGUUGAUGAACUUGGUAUAAAAUUCAGGAGAAAAAGCUUCGUUGAAAUAGUGAAGAUUGAUUGGUUAAGAGGUUGUGACGAUCAGUCUUGAACCUGGAGAUCAUUCUUCGUUUUGUCCAGAGUAUUCUUGUUUCUUUAUCUGUUCAGUUUUUAACUGUUUUCUUUGCUUUGCUUGAAUCCUAUAUUUGAAUUAAUUCACUCAAAACACAAGUUAAAUUUACAUAACAUUUUAGAAUCAUAAUUAACAUUUUUAAUUAACCUUUGUUUAUUUUCGUCAAAACUUUAAUUUAAGAGUUUGUCUUAACAAAGAUAACUCUUUAACAGAAGCAUACACAUCAGUGUUUUUGCUUAGAUGAGAUAUGUUUGUACACAUGACAACAAUAAAGUGAGAUAAUUUAUUUUAAAUAUAUAUAAUAGAUAGAUUUGCUGAUUUUAGGAAUAUUGAUUUGUCAAAUAAUAACUAAAAAUAAAUUCAAUUUACACUCAUUAAAAAAAUGAAUUAAUCUUAUUUAAUGUAUUAAAAUUUACCAGAAAAUUUUAUUUUGUUUUCUAGACUGUCCUUCCUUUUACAAAUUGGUAAAAAUAACUGUAUUUUUGAAGAUAAAUAAAUAGAGUCACCUAAAAAUAAUUUUACAUAUUUAUAAUCUAUGAUUUGCGCAGAAUUAUAAAAUACACUUGUAAAAACUCUUAACUCAAUAAAUAUUAUAAGAGUAUUUUAUUUUUGGAACAACUCAAUUAAAUAUAGUGAAUUUUUUUCUUUUUUCUUAUAGUUUGGAACAAAAAAUUAGUCUCUUUUUCGUAUAUAUUGUACACUAUCCAAGUUGGUAAUAUCAUUAUUUUUAGCUAUAGGAAACAGAUGAGUCAAAGAGAAAAAAAACUAUUGAAAAUUAAUUAAAUUAAGUCAAAAUUUUAUUGUUUUUGUUGUAUUUUGUAGUAAGGAGGGAUCAAUAAAUUUUGAGGAUCGUAGACAUCGUAUAUCUCUUUUAUCGAAUGCAAGUUUAUAGUCUUUUAAUUUUUAAAAGAAAAACAGAAAGAGAUUGUUGUGCAUAUUUAAAAACAAAAACAGAAAUGUUAAUAUUUAGAAAUAAUUUAUUUUCCUCGAAAUAGUACUUAUAAUUAGAUAUACUGAUAUUAUUAAAAUGCGAUAAAUUAUUUUGACCGGAUUGAUGCAGUCUUCACAAAAUCACCGUAAUUUGAUUUAUUAUAUGCAUCUAUUAUAAUUCUCCCAAACAUAUAUAUCAACAUUUUUUAUUUAAAUAUAUUAAAAUUACAAAAAAUAAACUUAAGUGUAUCUUUUAUUAAUCAUUUUUGUUUUUAAAUGUGUCUUUAGUUAAUUAAUUUACUCCUCAAUUUUAGUUAAUCACUAUAAUCUAUAAAAUUAUUAAUAAAAAUAAUAUUUAAAAAUGUAUUUGUAAUUUAAUAAAUUCAAAUACUUUAACGAUUGUGGUCUCUAGCAAUACUUUUUUAAACAUGUAUAAAGUGUUAUCUAAAAGUGGAUAAGACAACAUAUUAUAUAUGUUGUUAUGUUGUCAUCGCUGUUCUUGUAACACUGUAUAAAUGUUUACUAAAAUAUUUAUGGGAACACUUUUAAAAUGUACCUGUGGUAGCUUUUUUUAUAAUAAAUGAUAAUUGUUCCUUUAAAUAUUUCUAAGAACAUUUUUCAAUAGUUACAUUUCUUUGAACAAAUGCUACAUUUUUUAAAUAUUGCUUAAAAAAUUUAACAUUUGAUUAGUUUUUUUUGCAAGAUGAAUUCUUUCAAAUAUAUUUUUAAAUAUUAUUUUUAUUAAAAUACAAAAAAAAAGAAAAAUUAUUAACUUGUAAACAAAACAAAGUUAUUCUUAUUAAACAUUAUCUUUCUCUUUUACAAAAAUAAGAGAAACUAUAUAUAAAAAAAUUAUUUAUUAACUUAUUAUAGUAAAAAAAAUGUUUUUAAACCCAUAGAGUCUAAUUAUUAUUUUUUUUUAACUUUUUGACAACAUUUUUUAAAGUUGUAGUGAAAGACUAUAAAGUUACAUACAAUGGGUCCCUCCCUGCUAUAAUUUUGACUUAAUUUAAUUAAUUUCCAAUAGUAUUAGUUUGACUGAUUUAUUUUCUAAUAGCUAAAAAUAAUGAUAUUAUAAACUUGGAUAACUACUUUAUAAUAUAUAUACACAGUUUCCCUCCAAAAAUAUAUAAAAAUAAAAACGAGUCAUAAAAGUAUUUUAUCAAAAUUUUAUAUAUAUUUUAUUACAUGUGAGUGUAUAUAUAAGAAUAAUUGAGUGAGGCUAACUCACAGUAGCACAGUUUGAAAAGAUAACAGUUAACAAUAGAAGAAUGAUGAAGGUUCAAAUCCAAUCCCUUGGUGUUCUAAUGGUUGUUUUGUUGGCAUCUACAGCAACAGCGAAUAUAAUUUUGCCAAGCGUUUUCUUACCUAUCAAAGACGUGAACAACCCAAAAUUGGCCGAUUUGGGAAAUUUCGCCGUUGUCGAGCAUGUAAAGCAAACUGGUAAGGAUCAGUUGAAGUUCGAGAAAAUCCUCAAAGCUGAAUAUUAUUUUCCAGAUGACGUCCACCAAUUCUACCUCAUCUUUUCUGCCACCAACGCUUCCGGAAU